CCUACGGGAGGCAGCAGUGGGGGAUAUUGCACAAUGGGGGAAACCCUGAUGCAGCGACGCCGCGUGUGGGAAGACGGUCCUCUGGAUUGUAAACCACUGUCCCCAGGGACGAAGAUGACGGUACCUGGGGAGGAAGCUCCGGCUAACUACGUGCCAGCAGCCGCGGUAAUACGUAGGGAGCGAGCGUUGUCCGGAAUUACUGGGUGUAAAGGGAGCGUAGGCGGGACUGCAAGUUGGGUGUCAAAUCUACCGGCUCAACCGGUAGCCGCACUCAAAACUGCAGUUCGUGAGUGAAGUAGAGGCAGGCGGAAUUCCUAGUGUAGCGGUGAAAGGCGUAGAUAUUAGGAGGAACACCAGUGGCGAAGGCGGCCUGCUGGGCUUUUACUGACGCUGAGGCUCGAAAGUGUGGGGAGCAAACAGGAUUAGAUACCCCAGUAGUC
rnacentral:rRNA from 1 species